rnacentral:pre_miRNA from 1 species
GAUUUCAACUGAAAAACUCAUCAAUAACAAAGUCGUAUAACUCAUCAAGAUCUAUAACUUUUAUUUGGAUUAUUUCUUCAUCCGAUAAAGUGAUUUGUAACAUUGUUCACAAAACGUACAUAUCUCUUAUAUUGUUUAUAAACUAUAAGAGAGAUAUGUAAAUUUUAUGAACAAUGUUACUAUUACUUUGUCGGAUGAAGAAAUAACCAAAAUAAAAGUUAUAGGUAUUGAUGAGUUAUACAACUUUGAUGUUGAUGAUUUUUACUAUUGAAAUC